rnacentral:rRNA from 1 species
AGAGUUUGAUCCUGGCUCAGGACGAACGCUGGCGGCGCGCUUAACACAUGCAAGUCGAGCGAGAACCAGCCCUUCGGGGCUGGGGACAGCGGCGAACGGGUGAGUAACACGUGGGUAAUCUGCCCUCGGCACCGGAAUAGCCCGGGGAAACCCGGAUUAAUGCCGGAUGGCCUCUCGAGCUUUCGGGCUCGUGAGAAAAGGUAGCUUUGGCCUCCGGCCGAGGAUGAGCCCGCGGUCGAUUAGCUUGUUGGUGAGGUAAUGGCUCACCAAGGCGACGAUCGAUAGCUGGUCUGAGAGGACGAUCAGCCACACUGGGGCUGAGACACGGCCCAGACUCCUACGGGAGGCAGCAGUGGGGAAUCUUGCGCAAUGGGCGAAAGCCUGACGCAGCGACGCCGUGUGCGGGAAGAAGGCCUUCGGGUUGUAAACCGCUUUCAGGAGGGACGAAGCCACUCGGGUUAAUAGCCCAGAGGGUGACGGUACCUCCAGAAGAAGCCCCGGCUAACUACGUGCCAGCAGCCGCGGUAAUACGUAGGGGGCUAGCGUUGUCCGGAUUUAUUGGGCGUAAAGAGCGUGUAGGCGGCCAGGUAGGUCCGGUGUGAAAACUCGAGGCUUAACCUCGAGAUGUCAUCGGAAACCAUUUGGCUAGAGUCCGGAAGAGGAGAGUGGAAUUCCUGGUGUAGCGGUGAAAUGCGCAGAUAUCAGGAAGAACACCUAUGGCGAAAGCAGCUCUCUGGGACGGUACUGACGCUGAGACGCGAAAGCGUGGGGAGCGAACAGGAUUAGAUACCCUGGUAGUCCACGCCGUAAACGAUGGGUGCUAGGUGUGGGCGGUGUCGACUCCGUCCGUGCCGAAGCUAACGCAUUAAGCACCCCGCCUGGGGAGUACGGCCGCAAGGCUAAAACUCAAAGGAAUUGACGG